UAUGAACAAGAAGGAGUAUAUAUUCACUCAUCUUGUGGAAAGACCAAUGACCAAGACGGCUUGAUUUCAGGAAUAUUACGUGUUUUAGAAAAGGAUGCCGAAGUAAUAGUGGACUGGAGACCAUUGGAUGAUGCAUUAGAUUCCUCUAGUAUUCUCUAUGCUAGAAAGAUGCUCCAAGUCAUAGAAAUGGGAAAAGCAAAUGGUCAUUCCUGUUCAGUUUGACAGACCUGAAAUCAAUCAAGCAAAACAAAGAGGGUAUGGGCUGGUCCUAUUUGGUAUUCUGUCUAAAGGAUGACGUCGUUCUCCCUGCUCUACACUUUCAUCAAGGAGAUAGCAAACUACUGAUUGAAUCUCUUGAAAAAUAUGUGGUAUUGUGUGAGUAAAUCUCCACAGGAUAAAAGAACACUUCUUGUGAAUUGUCAGAAUAAGAGUCUUUCACAGUCUUUUGAAAAUCUUCUUGAUGAGCCAGCAUAUGGUUUAAUACAAAAAAUUAAAAAGGACCCUUAUACGGCAACUAUGAUAGGAUUUUCCAAAGUCACAAACUACAUUUUUGACAGUUUGAGAGGCAGCGAUCCCUCUACACAUCAACGACCACCUUCAGAAAUGGCAGAUUUUCUUAGUGAUGCUAUUCCAGGUCUAAAGAUAAAUCAACAAGAAGAACCAGGAUUUGAAGUCAUCACAAGAAUUGAUUUGGGGGAACGCCCUGUUGUUCAAAGGAGAGAACCGGUAUCACUGGAAGAAUGGACUAAGAACAUUGAUUCUGAAGGAAGAAUUUUAAAUGUAGAUAAUAUGAAGCAGAUGAUAUUUAGAGGGGGACUUAGUCAUGCAUUGAGAAAGCAAGCAUGGAAAUUUCUUCUGGGUUAUUUUCCCUGGGACAGUACCAAGGAGGAAAGAACCCAAUUACAAAAGCAAAAAACUGAUGAAUACUUCAGAAUGAAACUGCAGUGGAAAUCCAUCAGCCAGGAACAAGAG
rnacentral:lncRNA from 1 species